UACGUAGGGUGCAAGCGUUGUCCGGAUUUAUUGGGCGUAAAGAGCUCGUAGGCGGCUUGUUGCGUCGUCCGUGAAAACCCGCAGCUCAACUGCGGGCUUGCGGACGAUACGGGCAGGCUAGAGUUCGGUAGGGGAGACUGGAAUUCCUGGUGUAGCGGUGAAAUGCGCAGAUAUCAGGAGGAACACCUGUGGCGAAAGCGGCUCACUGGACCAUAACUGACGCUGAUGCACGAAAGCUAGGGGAGCAAACAGG
rnacentral:rRNA from 1 species